CAAAAGUGAAACCAUUUCUUGCUCUUAAUCAUGGCCAACAUGGUGGACCUGAAGCCUAUCCUGGAAACAAUCUCUCAAUGUGAUGCCUGUUCAUCUUAUGGCAACUGAGGUCCACACCCACACCUCUUGAGGACAAUGUAUUUAGCCAAAUCAUCUACUGGCAUGCUUUGGUAUGUGGGGAGCAAAAUGAAGAAUAUUGUGAAACCCCAUUGAUAUUGGAAGAACAUGCACAGAAACUGUAAGCAGAGUUCAACCUGAGCUCAGAUUUAACUCAGAACACUGGAGCUGAGGUAGCAACAAUAUUUGGUGCACCACUGACCUGCCAUUAAUAAAGCUGGUAAUAAUCAUUAAUUAUAACAAAAUCGUAUUUGCAGUAAAACAGCAUUUUAAUGUAAAUGUUAGCAGGAGAUCAAGAACACCAACAAACUCAAAACUGAAUUAUCUUUGUAAAACAGAUGGCUUUAAUCAACCAAAGAUAGUUAUGCAAAAAAAAAAAAGAAAAAAAAAAAAACAACAUUAAAGACUGACAUUAAAUGAUAUUGAUACUGUACAAUAAUAAUUUCAGAACUAAACACUACAAGAAAUUCUGUUGCUAAACUUGGGCACCAAUCCCAGUUUUUUAUGAAAGUCAGAUUACAGGAUGGUGAUGAAUAAGGUUUAGACCCACAGAACAUAACGUUAUGUAUACAACCGGGUAGGCACUAUAAAACGUUCAUAUUCUCAGUUACAUAUGGAAGCCAACAUAAGAUCUAAAAGGAUUUUCUCAUGAGGCCAUCUUCAUCACUGCCAAAAGCAGCCAGUGAAGUGACAAACUGAAAUACACCAGAGUUAUUAAUAACACCGUAUUUCAGUUUGAGGUGAGUACUAAAUGUUUGUCUAUUUUGGAACGAAAUAUACUUCAUGAAAUAAAAGAAAAGACAAAAAGCCCCACAAACCCUGAAAAUUGUUCACACAGGUUGUUCAUUAUUUAUUAGAUAGGGCAUACAGUCCGUUUGGCCUAAGCGGCUUCUGCACUGAAGCCAUAUGUACACAUUUAUUAUUUUGGUACAUUAAUUGUGAUAAUCCACUUUAGGAAGGUUUUAAUGCACAAUUCUGUCUGCACUUCAUUCGAGUGAUAAGGCAAAAGUGAAAGAUGAACAAGCAAUUGUUUUUAAAAACAAACAAACAAAGACUCUACAGACAAGGGCUUUAUACAACAUAGAAUCUGUAUAACAAAAAAACAAACAAAAAAAAAACCAUUCAGACUUUCCCUUUUAUACGGCACAAA